rnacentral:rRNA from 1 species
CGCGUAGGCGGUUUGGUAAGUCGGAUGUGAAAGCCCCGGGCUUAACCUGGGAAUUGCAUUCGAUACUGUCUGACUGGAGUGUGGUAGAGGGAAGCGGAAUUCCGGGUGUAGCGGUGAAAUGCGUAGAGAUCCGGAGGAACAUCAGUGGCGAAGGCGGCUUCCUGGACCAACACUGACGCUGAGGUGCGAAAGCGUGGGGAGCAAACA